UACGAAGGGGGCUAGCGUUGCUCGGAAUCACUGGGCGUAAAGCGCACGUAGGCGGAUCUUUAAGUCAGAGGUGAAAUCCCAAGGCUCAACCUUGGAACUGCCUUUGAUACUGGGGAUCUUGAGUCCGGGAGAGGUGAGUGGAACUGCGAGUGUAGAGGUGAAAUUCGUAGAUAUUCGCAAGAACACCAGUGGCGAAGGCGGCUCACUGGCCCGGUACUGACGCUGAGGUGCGAAAGCGUGGGGAGCAAACAGG
rnacentral:rRNA from 1 species